CCACCAUAACUAAUGAGUAAGGAAAAUAACCAGGGGUAACGCUCGGGUCCUCGCUGCCUCGUGCGAGAGGAAUUUUUGAGCGGGUAAAGGUCGCCCAGAAGGUGACCCGCCUACUUUGUGGGAGGCCGCAGCGCAGUGAUCUGCCCG